rnacentral:rRNA from 1 species
UACGAAGGGGGCUAGCGUUGUUCGGAAUCACUGGGCGUAAAGCGCACGUAGGCGGAUUUUAAGUCAGGGUGAAUCCGGGGCUCAACCUCGGAACUGCCUUUGAUACUGGAGAUCUUGAGUCCGGAAGAGGUAAGUGGAACUGCGAGUGUAGAGGUGAAAUUCGUAGAUAUUCGCAAGAACACCAGUGGCGAAGGCGGCUUACUGGUCCGGAACUGACGCUGAGGUGCGAAAGCGUGGGGAGCAAACAGG